rnacentral:misc_RNA from 1 species
UAGAGUUCUAAACUCCAAACCUUUGUGAACAUAUACGUGUUGCUUCGGCGGGUUGGGGGGCCCAGCGCCCACCGUCGCCCGCCGGGGACCCAAACUCUUGCCUUCUAGCGGAAUCUUCUGAGUGAAAGCAAAUAAAAUCA